rnacentral:tRNA from 1 species
GCCUCAGUAGCUCAGUGGUAGAGCGCCUGUCUCGUAAACAGGAGGUCGGGAGUUCAAAUCUCCCCUGGGGCU